CUCUGUUCACAACCUUUAACGCGCCAACCUGGACCAAUCGCGAGAGCUUCGAAUAAUUUCUGAAACGAAACCGUGAAUUUUGGAAUUUAUAAUACAAAAUCGGAUUCGGGGGUGGAAAAAAAGAAAAGCGCGACGAACGGAUUCCGGGCGCGAAACGGGUUACCCUGUGAAUGCGACAGGUGCGGCGAUCCUUCAACCGAUAGAAAUUCAUUCAGAGAACCCGGGAACAACUACCGAUAGAUUCGUCAUAAAUCUUAAGGGAUGAAGUCCGCAACGUGGACUUCGUACGUCAAUCGAACACCGUUGUUCUCGUGACAAAUUUUACCCUCAAGCGAAUUCGAACGAGUUUUCCUUCAAUUCUCGACGUUGUGAUCCAUCGUCGUCGUCCCUCGAUUUACCGGCAUCUGUGGUGCUUGUGAACUUUUCAUCGACGAUUUGAUCAUGUGUUCGAAAGAAAUUCCGGACAAAUUGAAUAACUCGAUCAAUCGAGAUAUUCGUGUUUAUAACUGAGACGUGUGUACAGUGAAAAAUUUCCGAGUACGUACCCGGACGUGAUUCGAAUCGAAAGAAAAAUUCAUCCGAAGAUGAAAAAAUAAAGUAAAAGUAAAAUGACGAAAUGUACGUAAUAUUUAAAUUCGGGACAUAAAAUUCGCCGAGUUGGUAUAACGCGUAUGCAUCGGUGUGGUAAUAAUAAUUCAUCGGGUGUAAUUUUGACUCGAUAAAGGUAAUAACUCGGGGAACGUUUGCCAAACGACUGUGCACCGUUAUACCGUACACACUACGAGGAACCUGGUGUUUGCGGAGGAACAAACUCGUUGAUAAACGAGUCAUUUAAUUGCACGGGUAUUUUACAAAUGACCAAUUAAAUGGAAGAGGAAAAUGAAGAGAAAAUAAAAUUUUGUAAUUAAACGACAGAAACUAAUUAGAUAACCUGGUAUCAGGAAUGUUUCGGUGAUAUUUCAACAGUGUGUACGUCAUGAUACAAGUGUGUGUAGAGUUGAGUACGUAAAAAAAUUGUAUAAAAAAAAA
rnacentral:lncRNA from 1 species